CUGACUUACACUGUUCUCAUGUGAAUGUUCACAGGGACUCAUCCACUCUGAACUUAUUAUUAUCCUCAUUUUACCAACCAGGAAACUGAGAAUUGCACAGGAGAAGAAAGUUGACCAAGGUCAUCCAACAAAACUGACUCAGAACUCAAUGGAUCUGAGGUUCUAGAAUUCAGACACCUGAGCCAUAGCAACUGCCUAUACACAGCGGCCGAGAAGCCUUUCCCCAUUAGCUAACAUCUAAGUGAUGGCGGAAAGCUUUUCUGUACAGUGUUACAUACCUAGCUUUCAUUUAAUGCAGUAAAACCGGUCAAACAUGUCGAAUGAGGAAAACCCUAUCAGCAGGAGCUGCCAAGCCUCCGUGCUCAGUAUCUCCAGCCCAGCACUUCCCUCCAUCCUCAGGGACCAUGGUCCACAGGGAAAGGCACGCCAGCUGCUUAGCCAAGUACCAGGGUUUUAUUACAUAGCCCUGGCUAGCCUGGAAUUUGCUAUACAGAGCAGUCUGGCCUGGAAUUCAGAGACUGGUCUGCGUCUGCUUCCUUGGUGCUGAGAUUACAGGUGUGCACUGCCACACUCGAGGCUACUAUGAAAGGGUUGGAGAGAACCCCACUGAGUAGGCAUGAUCACUGCUGUUCACAGUCACAUCACUGUCACUCUUCAGGAGCUUCCUACGGUCAGACAAACCACACUGCAACCAGCUAGUUAUACACUUCUUUACAGGUGUAGAUCAGCUACAGGAUCAGUGUCCACAGUGGAACUGUCAAGCUAAGGACAGCACUGUAAUCGUGAUAAAGACUACCUCCCUCUCCAUGCAAUCUGCUUCAUGUCUUCACCAGGAUGAACAUGGCCACUCCUCAAUGGAUAAAGAAGCCGACUACUAAUUUUGCAUGUUAAAUAUGUGUAUUUAUCUAUGUAUCUUUUAUUCAUGUCCUUUGCCUGUUUUUCUCUUAUGUAAAGUCUUAGUCUCUGGAUGAUCA